GGUGACGAACGCUGGCGGCAGGCUUAACACAUGCAAGUCGAGCGCCCCGCAAGGGGAGCGGCAGACGGGUGAGUAACGCGUGGGAAUCUACCCUUUUCUACGGAAUAACGCAGGGAAACUUGUGCUAAUACCGUAUGAGCCCUUCGGGGGAAAGAUUUAUCGGGAAAGGAUGAGCCCGCGUUGGAUUAGCUAGUUGGUGGGGUAAAGGCCUACCAAGGCGACAAUCCAUAGCUGGUCUGAGAGGAUGAUCAGCCACAUUGGGACUGAGACACGGCCCAAACUCCUACGGGAGGCAGCAGUGGGGAAUAUUGGACAAUGGGCGCAAGCCUGAUCCACCCAUGCCGCGUGAGUGAUGAAGGCCCUAGGGUUGUAAAGCUCUUUCACCGGUGAAGAUAAUGACGGUAACCGGAGAAGAAGCCCCGGCUAACUUCGUGCCAGCAGCCGCGGUAAUACGAAGGGGGCUAGCGUUGUUCGGAAUUACUGGACGUAAAGCGCACGUAGGCGGAUUGUUAAGUGAGGGGUGAAAUCCCAGGGCUCAACCCUGGAACUGCCUUUCAUACUGUCAAUCUAGAGUCCAGAAGAGGUGAGUGGAAUUCCGAGUGUAGAGGUGAAAUUCGUAGAUAUUCGGAGGAUCACCAGUGGCGAAGGCAGCUCACUGGUCUGGAACUGACGCUGAGGUGCGAAAGCGUGCGGAGCAAACAGGAUUAGAUACCCUGGUAGUCCACGCCGUGACGAUGAAUGUUAGGCGUCGGGCAGUUUACUGUUCUGUGGCGCAGCUCACGCAUUAAACAUUCCGUCUGGGGAGUASGUUCGCAAGAAUAAAUACUCAAAUGUAAUUGACGGGGGCCCACAUCAGCCGUGGAGCAUGUGGUUUAAUUCGAAGCAACGCGCAGAAACUUACCAGCCCUUGACAUCCCGAGUCCCGCCUACGAGAGAUCGUUUCCUUCAGUUCGCCUUGAUCGAGACAUGUGCAGCAUGGCUGUCGCCAGCUCGUGUCGU
rnacentral:rRNA from 1 species